GACAUAGCUUAGUUGGUAGUUGCGCUACGCUCUAACUUCCAGAGUCUUGGGUUCAAACCCCAUUGG
rnacentral:tRNA from 16 species